rnacentral:rRNA from 1 species
UGCGAAGGGGGCUAGCGUUGCUCGGAAUGACUGGGCGUAAAGGGCACGUAGGCGGUUCAUACAGUCAGAUGUGAGAUUCCCGGGCUUAACCUGGGGGCUGCAUUUGAUACGUGUGGGCUUGAGUGAGGAAGAGGGUUGUGGAAUUCCCAGUGUAGAGGUGAAAUUCGUAGAUAUUGGGAAGAACACCGGUGGCGAAGGCGGCAACCUGGUCCUUUACUGACGCUGAGGCGCGAAAGCGUGGGGAGCAAACAGG